GCGAGCGUCGCCUAGCGGCCUAGGGCCUCUGGCUUCCACCCAGAUGACGCGGGUUCAAAUCCCGCCGUUCGCUCCA
rnacentral:tRNA from 1 species